AGUGAAAUGAUGAACUUGAUCCUGCUAUCCACGCGUCCGUGUGCUUCUACAUGAUGUUGACGCGUUGGUCUGCUCUUAGAAAUUCUGGAUUCUUCCUUCCUUCCAUUUCGAUCUCUCUCACAGACCCUUCUGUUGCUAAAGCUUGCCUUCCCUCGUUCUCCGAUCUCGACUCCUCUCUCUCACUUUCCUGCUGAAAAAAACCAACCCAAUAGAAAUUUCUCCAGUUCUUUCUCUUAAAAACAAGAAGUCACUACUGCAAAACUCCAAAAAGAAAAAAAAAAAGAAUUCGAAUAGCCAUUUGCUUUUCCUUGGAUUUGGGUUUUGCUUCGAUUCCUACACUGUCCAAAACUUUGCCUCCCGGUGUGGAUCAAUCUAGGGUUUUGUCUAAGCUGCAAUCGCACCUCUGUCCUCCGCCGUCCGUCACUGAAAAGUUACCAAUACGAUCUCAAGGUUUUCUGCAAAAAAAGUUGUUCGAAUUUUGGCCUUUCUGUCUGCAACCUUGCAAGCUGUUUGUGCUCAAGGUAUAUAACUUUCUUUUUGUUUUCGUGUUGGAUCUUUCUCCGAUGAUGGUUUGUUUGAUUGGUCAAAAAAUGAAAGAAAUAAUUAUGAAAUUUAAACUGAAUUAUGCUUCAUUUAUUAGGCACUUAUAUGGUUAUGCAUGUGUUCUCUACCUCCUCCUCUGACUCUUUUUUCUUUUUCUUCUUCAUCUCUUUGUGCAACUUCCAAAUAUGGUGGAAUCGGUGGAGCUUCCCACUCGCCUAGGCAUCUUUCCUUUCUGAAACAAGGACCUUCGACCCUGCGCCAUCUUCGAAUUCACUGCACUUCACCCGGCAGGUAAUUGAUCGAUAUGCGGUUUGUAAGAUGGAUUUUUCUAACUGGUGGAUUAUCGAAUUGAUAAAAUUGGGGAAUUCCAAAAAGAUUGGGAUAAAGAGUUCGCACCGUGUUUACAAGAUCAACAGCUGAUUCGCACCGUGUUUACAAGAUCAACAGCUGAUACAGCCCCAUACUUUUUUCUUAAAUCCAGAAAAAGCCGCUCUGCCACUCGAGGCUGCAUAACAUGUAGUACAGAAGAAGUCAGAUGGGGAUAGAUUGCAGAAGAAAGAAUCUUAGAAUUUAAAAACAAAUCACCAACUCGCAGAUUCCUCAAGUCGCACAAUUUCGAACUUGGGCUUAUACGUUAAGUCAACAAUUUGGUCCCAAAGCAACGGAAUUGACCCCCCUAACCUGCAGAUAAAAGCAUUAAAGAUGCUGUAAACCAUUUAGGACAAUUAAUCAGGGAAAAUAGAAAGGAAAAUUUUAUUUAAACACAUUUAACCUCUUUCUACACCUGACCUAAAUUUUAAAUAUUAGUUGUCUUUGCAUAAUUAUUAUUAAGUACAAAAUGAAAUUAAUAAAAAAAAUCAAAUUUAUCAAUAGAUCCAAAUACUAUAAUUAAACCUUAGCAUCACUUUUUGUUUAUCCUACGUUCAUUCCAACUAAAACCUUAAGACUGCAUUUGUUUGGCUUCCUUAACUCUCAAUGGAUUAGAUUGGACUAUAGUCUAGUGUUUGUUAGAUAUUGGGCUAUGUUUGAUGAGACUAAAGGGGACUCGUGUGGACUAAUAGGCUUGCUAGAAGUUCUUAGCGAGAGCCCUUGAAAAGGAGGGGACUAGCUAAGACCGUCUUCCUUCUCUGCUCUCUUUCGUCUCUUCCUCCUCUAACUAGACCUAUAUAACUGCACCACCUUCGACCGUCGUGGGCAUAGAUUGCUGCAGAUGGUCUUCGUUCUAACCCAAAUCAUGGGAUCUUUGUGAACCCAGUGGUAGGUGAGGAACACGACGGCCGUUGAAACCCAAAUCACGGAAUCAUUGUGAACCUAGUGGUGGGUGACGACGAUGAAGGAAUGUCGAAGGCCAAAACACCGGCGCCCACGACGGCGACGAAAACGGCAAAGGUCUUGGAUUUGGACAACAGUGGCUUGGGAUCGUCGGCGAUAAAGAUGUGGUGAAGAACUUUGACAGAAUCACUAGGAAUUGCAAAUUCAGCCGUGUCAAAUCUUUUGUUGUCCAUGCCUACAACUUUUGUUAUAAAGAGAAUGGGUGUAAAUAUAAUUUUACAUUUUGAAUUGGGUUUGAGAGGG